UCAGAGCGAACGCGGCGGAGGCUUAACACAUGCAAGUCGAACGCAUCCUUCGGGAUGAGUGGCAGACGGGUGAGUAACACGUGGGAACGUGCCCUCCGGUCUGGGAUAACCCUGGGAAACUAGGGCUAAUACCGGAUACGUGCUUUGGCAGAAAGGUUUACUGCCGGAGGAUCGGCCCGCGUCUGAUUAGCUAGUUGGUGGGGUAACGGCCUACCAAGGCGACGAUCUUUAACUGGUCUGAGAGGAUGAUCAGCCACACUGGGACUGAGACACGGCCCAGACUCUACGGGAGGCAGCAGUGGGGAAUAUUGGACAAUGGGCGAAAGCCUGAUCCAGCAAUGCCGCGUGAGUGAUGAAGGCCUUAGGGUUGUAAAGCUCUUUUACCCGGGAUGAUAAUGACAGUACCGGGAGAAUAAGCCCCGGCUAACUCCGUGCCAGCAGCCGCGGUAAUACGGAGGGGGCUAGCGUUGUUCGGAAUUACUGGGCGUAAAGCGCACGUAGGCGGCUUUGUAAGUUAGAGGUGAAAGCCUGGAGCUCAACUCCAGAAUUGCCUUUAAGACUGCAUCGCUUGAAUCCAGGAGAGGUGAGUGGAAUUCCGAGUGUAGAGGUGAAAUUCGUAGAUAUUCGGAAGAACACCAGUGGCGAAGGCGGCUCACUGGACUGGUAUUGACGCUGAGGUGCGAAAGCGUGGGGGAGCAAACA
rnacentral:rRNA from 1 species